UACGUAGGGUGCGAGCGUUGUCCGGAAUUAUUGGCGUAAAGAGCUUGUAGGCGGUUUGUCGCGUCUGCCGUGAAAAUCCGGGGCUCAACCCCGGACUUGCGGUGGGUACGGGCAGACUAGAGUGUGGUAGGGGAGACUGGAAUUCCUGGUGUAGCGGUGAAAUGCGCAGAUAUCAGGAGGAACACCGAUGGCGAAGGCAGGUCUCUGGGCCACUACUGACGCUGAGAAGCGAAAGCGUGGGGAGCGAACAGG
rnacentral:rRNA from 1 species